GUAGGUGGCAAGCGUUGUCCGGAAUUAUUGGGCGUAAAGCGCGCGCAGGUGGUUCUUUAAGUCUGAUGUGAAAGCCCCCGGCUCAACCGGGGAGGGUCAUUGGAAACUGGGGAACUUGAGUGCAGGAGAGGAAAGUGGAAUUCCACGUGUAGCGGUGAGAUGCGUAGAUAUGUGGAGGAACACCAGUGGCGAAGGCGACUUUCUGGCCUGUAACUGACACUGAGGCGCGAAAGCGUGGGGAGCAAACAGGGAUUAGAUACCCUGGUAGUCCACGCCGUAAACGAUGAGUGCUAAGUGUUGGGGGGGUUUCCGCCCCCUCAGUGCUGCAGCUAACGCAUUAAGCACUCCGGCCUGGGAGUACGGUCGCAAGACUG
rnacentral:rRNA from 1 species